rnacentral:rRNA from 1 species
UACGUAGGGUGCAAGCGUUGUCCGGAAUUAUUGGGCGUAAAGAGCUCGUAGGCGGUUUGUCGCGUCUGCUGUGAAAAUCCAAGGCUCAACCUUGGACUUGCAGUGGGUACGGGCAGGCUAGAGUGCGGUAGGGGAGAUGGGAAUUCCUGGUGUAGCGGUGGAAUGCGCAGAUAUCAGGAGGAACACCAAUGGCGAAGGCACAUCUCUGGGCCGUAACUGACGCUGAGGAGCGAAAGCGUGGGGAGCAAACAGGAUUAGAUACCCUGGUAGUCCACGCCGUAAACGGUGGGUGCUAGCUGUGGGCCACAUUCCACGUGGUCCGUAACGAAGUUAACACAUUAAGCACCCCGCCUGGGGAGUACGGCCGCAAGGCUAAA